GACUUCCGCUUCACCUCGCUAUCUUGCCCUAGAAAGGGAACUCGGAGGGGACUCACUGACGAAAGGAGCUCCAGAUGGCGGGGGGCCAACCUGGGGCGACCCCCAGCGCCCACUUUCACCAUCUGGACCCCAGCAAACCUCCCUGUGGCCCUUGGUCCCGUCUUCAGCAGCUCCUUCUGGGGUCCCACACCUUCGGAGCCCGGCCCUGCCCCUGAGUCUCUGGAGAGAGCGAGUCAGCAGUUCGCCGCCGCGGGGCUCCCGUUUGCCUAGCACGCCAGUUUCUGUCCAGUUUCACCCCAAAUCCCCACCUCCCCCCACCCCCGAACCUCACGGCCACCCUGGGAAGGAGGCUUGACUUGUGACAUCCACCCCUCUUCACGGCUGAGGAACUUUGGCCCCGAGCGAGGAAGCGACCGGCCCACGGCCACACGCCCGGAGUGGGUAAAUAUCUACUCAUGGGAUUGCUGGGCUGUAUGGGGGCAGCAUCUUCUACUAUGUGCAUCUACAUUGGAUGGCAGUGGAGCAACACAGAUUGUUUUCUGACAAAAAUCAGCCAAGUACUAGGAGAGGCAGGACUUUAGAAGUGGAGGAGAUGGAGAAGGAAGCUUAGGUUACUAUGGAGUGUGCAAAAAGGUCCUGUGGAUUUAGAUACCACCACACACAAAUGCUGUUGUUGGAAGGUACCUGCCCAGAUAAGGACUGCAUUUCCUCUAGCAUCCAGAUGGGACCAAAUGACUGCUGGCCAAUAGAAGUGAGUGGAAAGGACUGACUCCAGUUCCAGGUUGGGCCUCCAACUGCUCUGGGCACGUCGAUGGAACAGAACACCACCUCCACCCCAAUACCACCAAUUCAACUUUACAUGAAUUAUAAGCGAGAAAUAACUUGGACUGUGUUAAGUCAUUGAGUUUCUGGGGUUUAACUGUUAUUAUAGUUAAGAAUGACUUUAACUAAUAUAGUCAAUGACAUCUAA
rnacentral:lncRNA from 1 species